UGCUGAGGUUGUUACUGCCGCACUGUGAAAACGGAACAAUACAGGAAAGACUAGCAUGGCCCCUGCACAAGGACGACUCGCAAAUUCACAAAGUGUUCCAUUUUUUA
rnacentral:snRNA from 1 species